UACGUAGGGUGCAGGCGUUAAUCGGAAUUACUGGGCGUAAAGCGUGCGCAGGCGGUUUGCUAAGACAGGUGUGAAAUCCCCGGGCUUAACCUGGGAACUGCGCUUGUAACUGGCAAGCUAGAGUGUGGCAGAGGGGGGUGGAAUUCCUGGUGUAGAGGUGAAAUUCGUAGAUAUCAGGAGGAACACCUGCGGCGAAGGCGGCUUCCUGGCCCAUACUGACGUUCAGGUACGAAAGCGUGGGUAGCAAACAGG
rnacentral:rRNA from 1 species